UACGUAGGGUGCAAGCGUUGUCCGGAAUUAUUGGGCGUAAAGAGCUCGUAGGCGGUUUGUCGCGUCUGCUGUGAAAACCCGAGGCUCAACCUCGGGCCUGCAGUGGGUACGGGCAGACUAGAGUGCGGUAGGGGAGAUUGGAAUUCCUGGUGUAGCGGUGGAAUGCGCAGAUAUCAGGAGGAACACCGAUGGCGAAGGCAGAUCUCUGGGCCGUAACUGACGCUGAGGAGCGAAAGCAUGGGGAGCGGACAGG
rnacentral:rRNA from 1 species